rnacentral:rRNA from 1 species
AGCAGCUGCGGUAAUUCCAGCUCCAAUAGCGUAUAUUAAAGUUGUUGCAGUUAAAAAGCUCGUAGUUGAAUUUCGGGGUCAGUAGGUCGGUCGUGCCACUGGUAUGAACUGGUUUUACUGAUUCCUCCCUCUUGAAGAACUGUAAUGCCAUUAAUUUGGUGUUGCAGGGAAUCAGGACUGUUACUUUGAAAAAAUUAGAGUGUUUAAAGCAGGCUUUAGCUUGAAUACAUUAGCAUGGAAUAAUGAAAUAGGACGUUUGAUCCUAUUUUGUUGGUUUCUAGGAUUGACGUAAUGAUUAAUAGGGAUAGUUGGGGGCAUUAGUAUUCAAUUGUCAGAGGUGAAAUUCUUGGAUUUAUUGAAGACUAACUACUGCGAAAGCAUUUGCCAAGGAUGUUUUCAUUAAUCAAGAACGAAAGUUAGGGGAUCGAAGACGAUCAGAUACCGUCGUAGUCUUAACCAUAAACUAUGCCCGACUAGGGAUCGGAUGAUGUUAAUUUUUUAAUGACUCA